rnacentral:rRNA from 1 species
UUUUGUACUGGAGAUUUUGUUACUUUGAGUAAAUUAGAGUGUUCAAAGCAAACAGUUAAAGCAUUUUACUGCGUUUGAAUACUACAGCAUGGAAUAACAAAAUUGAACAAGUCAAAACUCUGUUCCUUUUUCUUAUUUUGGCUUAGUUACGAUUAAUAGGAGUAGCUUGGGGGCAUUUGUAUUCAGAUGUCAGAGGUGAAAUUCUUAGAUUUUCUGGAGACAAACAACUGCGAAAGCAUUUGCCUAAAAUACUUCCAUUAAUCAAGAACGAAAGUUAAGGGAGUGAAGACGAUCAGAUACCGUCGUAAUCUUAACCAUAAACUAUGCCGACUAGGUUUUGGAUGAAAGAUUUUUAAAUAAGAAAAUUCCUUUUGGAAAUUUCUUAGAUUGCUUCCUUCAGUACCUUAUGAGAAAUCAAAGUCUUUGGGUUCUGGGGCGAGUAUUCGCGCAAGCGAGAAAGUUAAAAGAAUUGACGGAAGGGCACCACCAGGCGUGGAGCUUGCGGCUUAAUUUGACUCAACACGGGGAAACUCACUAGUUUAAGACAAGAGUAGGAUUGACAGAUUAAUAGCUCUUUCUUGAUUUCUUGGAUGGUGAUGCAUGGCCGUUUUUAGUUCGUGAAUAUGAUUUGUCUGGUUAAUUCCGAUAACGAACGAGAUCUUAACCUGCUAAUUAGCGGCGAAUACGUUAUAUUCCUACUUGAAAUUGAAUAUAGCUGAAUUUGCUUAUUUUGAAGAAUAUAUUAGGAUACAUUAUA